CUGGGAGAUUGAGGCUGCAGUAAGCUGUGAUCGUAUCACUGUACUACAGCCCAGGUGACAGAGUGACACCCUGUUUCCCUGACCCUGGUAAAGAAGGUUGUUUAAUUUGUGGAAAAGGUAAAACAGAAGGUCUCUGGCCAGGGAGACCAGGGAGACAUCAGGUAGGUCUGAAGGAAGCUGCUGCAGUAGCUGCAAAGGAUCACAUGAAUGAAUGAAAAGCAGAUGGACACAUGUCCAGACUUCCUCCGCUCAGCUCCCAGAACUCUCACAGCAUGGCUUUCCCUCUGCAUGGGAGCCUUCUUUGGGAAAAUACAACCCACCCAAAGAAGAAAAACCGAUGGGUACUGAACUCAGAUGUUUCAGGGCAGGUUGUCUUUGCUUUUAACAAAUGAUCAAGGCAAUGAAGCAUUCCCUUCAAAAUUCUCAAGGAAACUUAUUUUUAAAUUAGAAUUCAAUAUCCUGGUAAAAUUAAGAAUCUGUCAAAGAUGAUUCUAGAAAAGUAAAGGUCUUGACAUCUUUAUCACCUAUAAACUUAUUUUGAAGGUAACUGCCAUAGGAUUUGUUAUACCCUAAGGAGAGAAUAUAAUAAUAAAGGAGACUCAAGACACAGGAAAAUUAGUGAUCUAACACAGGAGAGAGGCUACGGGAACCUGCAGAAAGAUAGUGUCUUAGUCAGCUUGGGCAGACGUAACAAGAUGCUGUAUUCUGGGUGGCCUAAACAACAGAAACUGAUUUUCUCAUUCAUUCUGUAGGUUGGAAAUCUGAGAUCAGGGUCCCAGCAAGAUGGGCCUAUGGUGAGAGCUUCCUUCCUGGCUUAAGAUGACAGCUCUCUUUCUUUGUAUUCACAUGGCACGAGGGUGGGGGAUGGGGUGGAUGCUUCCUCAUCUAGAAGAUGGAAAACAUGCCUUGGCUAUAAGAGGGCUGUGAGGAGAACAAGUUAAAUAAAAGUAGUAAAAUUGCGGCAUGUAAGUUGCACGGAUUAGGGAAACUCUCCCACACUCACACUGCAUAACUUUGACUUCUUUCCCCAGUGGCAUCCAAAGUCCUUUUGUUGGUGCGUGAGCCAGAAAUUCCCUGGCAUGUUCAUUGCCUGGUACAUCUGGUAUGCAGUCUUCUGGCUUAGUCUCAUCUUCCUAAACAAAGAGAACAGGUAUAAACAGCAAGGCAAGAGAGCACUGGGAUUCUCUCCCACUGCCCUUAGAGUUACCCUCGCCUGGCUUUUUCCUGGGCUGCCGGUGCCAACAUCCCCUUAACUACCCCUCAGAACUAGAAAGAAAGACAAGUUACACCUGAUUGAAGAAACAAACGAAUGUACCAAAACAACUAUGCCAAAAACAAUGUAGCUGUUCUUAGAGAAAAGUUACUGGUGAAGCAGAAAAAUGUCCUUAUAUAGCAGUGACUGGUAAGCUCCAAAUUUUGAUGUAAAUUAGAUUCUAAGAUUAAAAGAAAAAGUUUCACCAC